GGGAGGCUAGGUGAUACAACCCGUUCUGGCGAGGACCAUAGGUCGGGCACUGAUCGAGCUGAGGAGACGACAAUAGACGCAGCGGAGAACGGAAACGGAGAGAACCUAGGGUCUGGAUGUUGCGACCAAAGAAAAGGCUAGGGUUUGAGGUAAGAAGGUUCUAAUCGGUAGGAAAUGUUGGCAAAGGAGUAUUAAUCGGUGGAAUGUGGCUUUCAUCGGUGAAAAGUGUAGAUCGACGGUGAAAAUAGUGAUGAAGUGAGAUUUCAAUCGGUCAAAGGCUCCGAAGGUGAUGGAUCUAGGAAAUCCUAGUAGAUGAAGGCUAGAUCUACGAAGUAGAUCGGUGAAGAUGAGAGUUAUGGCUCUGAGAAGAAACUUACGGUGGCAGAUCUGUGUAGUGGUGCAGGAUGAUUCUGAAGUGUGACUGGAAGCGAAGACGCUGGAGAGGAAAAACGAGUGCGGCUUCGAGGGAGGAAUGAUUCUCUGAAGGUGUGGUCUGAUGAUGUAGGAGAGCAAAGUGGAAAAGCUAUGUGGCGGAUGCGGAUUGGUGGAAACCGUGGUAGCGUGCCACGCAGAGAGAUGGUGCACGGUGGAAUUAGGUGGAGAGAGAAAAGUCUGAUGUGGAAAAUGAGAGAAUGGUAAGUGUGAGAUGGAAGCUGGCUAGAGGAGAUCCUUUGGGAUUCUCUAGCCUUGACUUUCAAGGUAGAAUUGCUCUGGAGUAAUUCUCAACAGUAAACAAUUCAAUUAUCUCAAAAGUGAUUACAAGAUGUGUUAGCAUGCCUAUAUAUAGGGCUAAAUGUACCACAUGCCUAACACAUUGUACACAUCUCUAAUACAAGUAAAAGAAAAUACUAAACUAAAGAAAUUGGGCUUGGGCCCCGCGUAUUACUAGGGAUAGCAAGCCAGUAAUUAGUAUUAGGCUCUUUUCGCCGAGGGAUCAAGUUAAGGGUAGGCUAAGAAAGUUGCAUGACAAUUAAUUAAUCAAGCUAAUAAUUCAAGAGGAGUAAAUAAGAGAGAGUGGAUUAGAUGAAAUUGUAAACCCCCAACAACUCCAUUCAUCCAUUGUUUUCUUCUUGUCAAUUGAAUCAUUCUCUUUUGCAUGUUUAUAUUUUAUUCUCACAAUCAAUUAAUUAAUUUUUAUUUUCAAGUCUUACGAUUUUAAUUCACGCGAACGAUAAGGCCUUUCGAGUCUCUUGGGAAAAUGAUACUUGGACUUACCAUUUAUUAUUACUU
rnacentral:lncRNA from 1 species